UACGGAGGAGGCAAGCGUUAUCCAGAAUUAUUGGGCGUAAAGCGUCCGCAGGUGGCAAUUCAAGUCUGCUGUUAAAGCGCAGGGCUUAACUCUGUAAAGGCAGUGGAAACUGAAUAGCUAGAGUGUGGUAGGGGCAGAGGGAAUUCCCAGUGUAGCGGUGAAAUGCGUAGAGAUUGGGAAGAACAUCGGUGGCGAAGGCGCUCUGCUGGACCAUAACUGACACUCACAGGACGAAAGCUAGGGGAGCGAAUGGG
rnacentral:rRNA from 1 species